GAUAUGGCUCAGUUGGUAGAGCGCACCCUUGGUAAGGGUGAGGUCCCCAGUUCGACU
rnacentral:tRNA from 1 species